rnacentral:lncRNA from 1 species
GGGGCAAUCACGUGGAAUGCCAAAAAAAGAAACCUUUGUGCUGAGGUGAAGGGAUCGGAGCCCAGGCUGCAGCGGGCGGCUGCAGUGUUUCCUGCAAAAGCCCACUGAGAGCUCACGCUGUGACACAGCUGGAAAAACAUGUUCCCAGCCUGCACGCAGAAGCAAAGAGACAAUGGUGGCCCCGGAUGCCUACCAGUAGUUACGCUGUAACAGUGUCAAAGGUUAAGGCAGAUUUUCUGCAGAUCAUGUAAAGAACUGUACUACAGUUACUAGAGGGUGACAGUAAGUAAUUCAGUAGGAGAAAAAAACCACCUGCUCCAUCUGUCAACUGAGGACUGCAUACAAAGAAGCCUGAGAAAACUUCCCAACAAGAAAAUACAGAAUUAAACAAUGGACCAAAAAAGCAGUAAGGAUGGGAGACAUCCAAUACAAAACAGACACACACACCCCCUCUCUCACAUGUAGGCCCCUGAAAGUGGGAUCACAGUGAUAAAAGUUAGAGAUCAUAGAGCGGUAAGUUACACUGUCACUAAAAAGAAAGUAACGUCUUGCUUACAGGAAAUAUCUGGUAUUCCCCAGGACUGUUAGUGCCUGAACAAAGAUGAGGUUUUUCAUUGUGCUCUGCAACACAGCUGAUUGUAGGUCUUAAGCUUGGCUGUAAGGAAGAACUGUUACAUAGAGGAGUUACCUUUUCCGUUGACAUUUUUUACCCCAUGUAUUCUUGUCAUACUGCUAUAGCAGUAAAAAACGCAACUUGUUGAAAAAAAGCUCUACAUUCAAGUGACUUAUUCUCCUGUGUCUUAUCAAAAUGUAAAGAAUGCUCUCUGGUCACCUAAGACAAUGUUUUAGAUGCCUUACAGCAAUACUUAACUAUCUUUCCGUAUGAGAGGUAGGCUUCUGGGUUCUCGGAGGCCUGCCACAUCUAGGGCUGAGUUCUUAAAGCUUUAAGUUAAAGCAAUCCAAAGCAGGGCAGUCUUGCAAGUGCCCUGUCUAAAUCUUGAGGUUUGUUCAAGUUCAGAAUGUUGCAAAGCAAAACAAGUAUUAAAAUUAAUUUGUAGGUUUUGUUCUUAUAGCUUUACCACAAGAACAGUGUGGCUUUUCAUAAAUACCUUUAAAUAGAUUCUCUUUUGUAGAGUAUUGCUGCCAAGAGGUGAAGGCCUCCUACCCAUGUCCAGUAAAAACUGUCACUUUUGUUUCUGUUAUGGCUGUUUUAUGCUUAAAAUUCCCAAAGGUGAACACUACGUCUUACAGGCAAGCCGUAUAAAUACAAAUCUGAACUUGCUUUCUUGUAGCAGUUAUUUAAGAAUGAUAUUUGUAUAUAUAUGCCCACACUACAAACUUUUAUAAAUCAUUUUACAUUGGUACCAUUUUGUCUUAACUGCAACCAAGAACAUAUUCCACUAGAUCAGCAAUAAGCGUAGCCUGGCUUAUUCCCCAUUUCCCCUCCCCUUGAGAAAAAUCCUCAUGUGGGUAUCAUCCAAACCAAUGGUAUGUUGCUAACUGAAAUGCAUUCUGUACAGUAAAUUAAAAGUUUGCAUGCAGUUUAAGCAUUGUAAAGGCUAUUUUCUUAUAUUAACCUUCUGUUUCCAUUUAAAGGUGUGAAAGACAUCUGUCAUAUCAGGGGACUCUCCUCUUCAGACCCAGAGUCAAAUGGAAUUAUGAAGACCAGAUACUUUCUUGCAGCUUCCUGCACAUCUUACUAAAUAACAUGCAAAGAGUUCAACAGCAUUCUUCUUAAAAUGUAAAUAGUACUCUUUAAAUGGGCAUGUUAACCACUGAAAGAAGUCCACUCUACUAUACUCCUCCAUUACACUGCUUUCAUUCAGUCAUCGGUAGUAUAAAAAGUCAAUUAACGGGAUUAACAGGCUAGUUUAUCCACUGGCAAUUGCGUAUGACACCAAGUGUGCAGUAAAACAAAGGCCAACAUAUGUUUACGCAAUAUAGUUGUACUGAUUUGGGUUUUCUUUAUCUCUUUCCAUGUAGUCUCUGUCAAUUAAGGAUUCUAUUCUCUUCUUAAGGUCAGCAGGCUGUAAAUUAAAGCAGAUGUCAGCAUUAUUAUUUUGUAGUCGACGCUUCUCAAUCCUACCUAAGCCAAAUAUCCAUACUGCUUGAGAUGACUGAUGAACCAUAUUAUAACUUACAUCUCUCAACACAUCAAAGCUUCUUAAACUUGCAGUGUGCAAUUAAAGAGAAAGUUACAAGAUUAGACAGAAUGCACCAUAUAUCUGAGCUCAGAUGUUAUCACAGAAUCACAGAAUCUAUGUUAUCUAAGCUAUGUCACUGUCUUUUGGAAAAUCAGUUUGCACUUGUACACAGUAAGCUAUUCUUUCUCAUAUUGCAUCUGUUACUACUAACAAACUCCCAGUUCUGAAAACCUUUACUAUGUUGUACUAAUGAAGAGGUUAACAUUCAGAUAAACUAAUGAAACCGACACUUUAAAAAAUCCUGAAAUUACGUACUUUUUGUUCCUUCUAUCAGGAAAGGGAACACAUGUUUCAGAUAGAAGCACUGUUUAACUGAGAACAGGUCAAGGAAUGUGAAGAGAGGUAAUACAUUUUGAAAACAAAAGAAAUCAGUACUACACCUUUACUGGGAAUUUAAGCUGGUUGUAGACCUCUGACACAAGCAAGUUAUGACUCAGUGUUUUUCGCAUCUUCAUAAUUCGAACAAUAGCGGCAUCAAUCUGGUAUUGCCGGUCCUGGAAUACUCUCUCUGUAGUGCUUGCCUGUUCCUCUACCUGAUGGAUCCAUUUAAAAAGAGUUUUAAAGAGAACAUCAGAACUGUUGAAUCCAUUCUUCUUCAUAUCUAAGACAAGUCUUAUUGUGAGACACUAAAAGGUCUACUGUAAAAUACUGGACAUAAAUCCUACAAAAUAUGGAAGUCCACUGUCUUAAGAACUUGUACUCAAGAGCAAAAUCUUUGCACAACUUUUACAUUGGUUGGCAAAUUCACAGUGAAUUUGUUUCUAUGUUCACAAAUCAGUAAAGGUCUAGGGAAUGAUUAAGGGUGAACAGAACAUUCAUACUUGGAACCUCUGCUAAUCAACCUUAGAGAUGUCAAGGAUGAUCGAUAUCUAAGUUAGCACAGAAGCUCACGUUUAAAUCUCCACUAUUAAGUGGAGAUAUCAUCCAAAGAGAUAUCAUCCAAAAUACAUGUGCAUCCUUCACACAGAUACCAUUAUGUACAUUACAACCGAGAGGAAUAAAGCUUGUAAAUGGGCAAGCAAUGAGAUACUUAACCCAAGAAUAAAAAACCUAGAGUAUUAGAAAAAACAACAAAAAAUAUACCGUUUCUUUCAUCUGAAUUUGGUUGAUUUUUAUCCUGAACAGCUUAUGUCUGAAAUCAUCAUUGCAUGUGAAUUUAUCACCAUCUUCCACAUCUUUUCCUUUGGGGCUCUUUGUCAGUACUCUAGCUUUGCCACAAGCCAGAGACUGAAGUGUCCUUCGCAGCUCUCCAUCCUCUAAAGCAGAAACAAGUUGUUCAGUAUUUUCACUCAAGAGCACACUUGAAGCAGUCAGUGUUUUUAGUACCAACCUAUCCCAGUGGCUUGCUUUAUCUCCUCUAGACUGAACUCCUCUCCUUCAUUAAACAUGAGCAGCACUAGUGUCUGGAACAAGGAGACCUGAAGUUCUUUUUUGCCCUAUCACAGAGGAAAUAACAGACAUCAUUAGGUUGUUCUCAGGGGGGAUCAACUCACUCUUCCAUGUAAAUUAUUUCACUUACAGGAUGCAGUUGUUCCUUAUUCAUUUUAGAAUAUGAAAGAAUAAAAGUUAUUGUUCUCCUCAUGUUUACUAUGAAAUGCAGAGCAAGACAGAGGUCAGAUUAGACUACCAUACCCACUGACAAAAUUUGCUAAUGUAUGUAUCAAAUUUAGACACAUUCAAAUCCAAAGCGUGCUUAAAAUUACAAUUUGAAAGACCUUUAAUCCAAACUGUAAGACGAGCAUUAGUCUAAAAACAUAGUUGCUAUUACUAUCUCUUUAAUAACUAAGUUGGAUAACACUUGUUUUAUCAUUAACAUUAUGAAAAACAAAACUUAGUAAACAUUCCCAGCUUUCAAGGGAAAUCAUCACAAGAUAUAUUCAUGCCCACGAAGAAAUGAUAAAGGGAAAUACUGGGAAACUCUCUAAAAACUGC